AUUGAACGCUGGCGGCAGGCCUAACACAUGCAAGUCGAACGAGUGGCGGACGGGUGAGUAAUGUCUGGGAAACUGCCUGACGGAGGGGGAUAACUACUGGAAACGGUAGCUAAUACCGCAUACCAUCGGAUGUGCCCAGAUGGGAUUAGCUAGUAGGUGGGGUAACGGCUCACCUAGGCGACGACCCCUAGCUGGUCUGAGAGGAUGACGAGCCACACUGGGACGGAGACACGGUCCAAACUCAUACGGGAGGCAGCAGUGGGGAAUAUUGCACAAUGGGCGCAAGCCUGAUGCAGCCAUACCGCGUGUAUGAAGAAAGCCUUCGGGUUGUAAAGUACUUUCAGAGGGGAGGCGUUACCCGCAGAAGGAGCACCGGCUAACUCCGUGCCAGCAGCCGCGGUAAUUC
rnacentral:rRNA from 1 species